UUCACAACGGCUCUUUGUCAUGGUUAAGCAGAUCAAUCCACGUCCAUGAGUCGCCAUAAAGUUAAUGGCUUCUGGUGUGAUAUGUUCAGCGGCCAUAAUAA
rfam:Vibrio shilonii AK1 1103207002007, whole genome shotgun sequence.